rnacentral:rRNA from 1 species
ACUACGGGAGGCAGCAGUGGGGAAUAUUGCGCAAUGGGCGAAAGCCUGACGCCGCGACGCCGCGUGAGGGAUGCAGGUCUUCGGAUCGUAAACCUCUGUCAGCAGGGAAGAAAGGUCACUGUGCUAAUCAGCAGUGAAUUGCCGGUACCUGCAACGGAAGCACCGGCUAACUCCGUGCCAGCAGCCGCGGUAAUACGGAGGGUGCGAGCUUUAAUAGGAAUUACUGGUCGUAAAGCGCUCGUAGGCGGAAGGUCAAGUCAAGGGUGAACUCCCCGGGCUCAACGUGGGAACUGCCUUUGAAACUGGCAGACUGGAGUGUGUGAGAGGAUAGUGGAAUUCCAGGUGUAGGAGUGAAAUCCGUAGAUAUCUGGAGGAACAUCAGUGGCGAAGGCGACUAUCUGGCACAUAACUGACGCUGAGGAGCGAAAGCGUGGGUAGCAAACAGGAUUAGAUACCCGGGUAGUC